GCCUCGGUGGUGUAGUGGUAAAGCACGUGUACCCCGAGAGGAUGAAACGCGGCUUCGAUUUCCACCAGAGGCC